CUUACUGCAAACUGAUGAGUAUUGCACAGUAGUUUUCAAUUGCUCCUUGACAGUGUCACUCAUAAGACUGGCAUGUUGUUUGCUCUGGACCUGUUCUGCCACCUCGAGAAUGGAGAGAAAUGACAGACCAGGAAGGAAAACAAAAAUACAUCCAACAUUAUGUAAGUUCACUGGAUCAAGGAACAAUUUUGAUAUGUGCUGGGUUGAUGGCCAGCUUCAUUGGAAACAAAUUCCAGCUCAUCUCCGUUUUCGGUGUUGCAACACAGAGAAGAACAACACAGACAUAGUCGGAACGGUAAGCAAUAUUAAAGAGCUUUGUAAUCCAAUCAA
rnacentral:lncRNA from 1 species